rnacentral:rRNA from 1 species
CCUACGGGAGGCAGCAGUGAGGAAUAUUGGUCAAUGGGCGGAAGCCUGAACCAGCCAAGUAGCGUGCGGGAUGAAGGCCCUAUGGGUUGUAAACCGCUUUUGCACGGGGGCAACACCCGCCACGUGUGGAGGUCUGCAGGUACCGCGCAGAUAAGGCCUGGGCGAACUCCGUGCCAGCAGCCGCGGUAAUACGGAGGACGCGAGCGGUAUCCGGAUUUAUUGGGUUUAAAGGGUGCGUAGGCGGCGUUGGAAGUCAGCGGUAAAACUGCGGGGCUCAACGCCGUAUCGCCGUUGAAACUGGAGGCCUUGAGUUAGCGAGAGGCAGGCGGAAUUCGUGGUGUAGCGGUGAAAUGCAUAGAUAUCACGCGGAACCCCGAUUGCGAAGGCAGCAUGCCGGGGUGCGACUGACGCUGAGGCUCGAAGGUGUGGGUAUCGAACAGGAUUAGAUACCCCUGUAGUC